UACGAAGGGGACUAGCGUUGUUCGGAAUCACUGGGCGUAAAGCGCACGUAGGCGGAUGUGUCAGUCAGGGGUGAAAUCCCGGGGCUCAACCUCGGAACUGCCUUUGAUACAGCACGUCUCGAGUCCGGAAGAGGUGGGUGGAAUUCCGAGUGUAGAGGUGAAAUUCGUAGAUAUUCGGAGGAACACCAGUGGCGAAGGCGGCUCACUGGUCCGGUACUGACGCUGAGGUGCGAAAGCGUGGGGAGCAAACAGG
rnacentral:rRNA from 1 species